AAAUCCCACGGCUCAACCGUGGGGCUUGCUGGGGAUACUGCGGGCCUUGGGACCGGGAGAGGCCGGGGGUACCCCUGGGGUAGGGGUGAAAUCCUGUAAUCCCAGGGGGACCGCCAGUGGCGAAGGCGCCCGGCUGGAACGGGUCCGACGGUGAGGGACGAAGGCCAGGGGAGCGAACCGGAUUAGAUACCCGGGUAGUCCUGGCUGUAAAGGAUGCGGGCUAGGUGUCGGGCGAGCUUCGAGCUCGCCCGGUGCCGAAGGGAAGCCGUUAAGCCCGCCGCCUGGGGAGUACGGCCGCAAGGCUGAAACUUAAAGGAAUUGGCGGGGGAGCACUACAAGGGGUGGAGCGUGCGGUUUAAUUGGAUUCAACGCCGGGAACCUCACCGGGGGCGACGGCAGGAUGAAGGCCAGGCUGAAGGUCUUGCCGGACGCGCCGAGAGGAGGUGCAUGGCCGCCGUCAGCUCGUACCGUGAGGCGUCCACUUAAGUGUGGUAACGAGCGAGACCCGCGCCCCCAGUUGCCAGUCCUCCCCGCUGGGGAGGAGGCAUUCUGGGGGGACUGCCGGCGAUAAGCCGGAGGAAGGAGCGGGCGACGGUAGGUCAGUAUGCCCCGAAACCCCCGGGCUACACGCGCGCUACAAUGGGCGGGACAAUGGGAUCCGACCCCGAAAGGGGAAGGGAAUCCCCUAAACCCGCCCCCAGUUCGGAUCGCGGGCUGCAACUCGCCCGCGUGAAGCUGGAAUCCCUAGUACCCGCGUGUCAUCAUCGCGCGGCGAAUACGUCCCUGCUCCUUGCACACACCGCCCGUCACUCCACCCGAGCGGGGUCCGGGUGAGGCCUGGUCUCCCUUCGGGGAGGCCGGGUCGAGCCUGGGCUCCGUGAGGGGGGAGAAGUCGUAACAAGGUAGCCGUAGGGGAACCUACGGCUCGAUCACCUCCU
rnacentral:rRNA from 1 species